ACAUUAUCCUUAACAGAGAAGUCACAUUCACGGCGAAUAUCCUUGCAAGACACAGAGACGGCAAUCAAACCUAAUCAUCUUGAGCACCACACCACACCAACCAGCAGCGACCACGCUAACCACACCACCUGCUCACGUAACCCGCCAACACACCACAUGCCGCAUAAUCACCUUAACCACACGCACUCCUCUAGGCAACGCGAUAUAAAGAAUCGGAAGCCACAGCCAGCGCCAACGGCCUUGGGUAAUUGCUGAUAUUUGUUACAGCUGCACCGGUUUUGGCAUCAGCAGCUGUGUUUGAAGUCGUCUUUUAUCGUGGACUUUGAGAGAACUGUCACUCUGGGAGAAGUUUCCAUUCAAUGCUGAAUUGCUGUUGAUAACUGGUGGGAAGAGUUGUCCUGGCGGCCGCAGUCACGGGAGAAAAAACCGUUAGUCAUGGUUUAGGUUUAUCUCGAGAUGGCUUUGUCGGUCACGGUGGGGUUAGAGACGUCGGGUAAGGUAUGAUAAUCCCACUUUUCAGACUUUCUGUUUGUAGGUCUUGCUUCCAUAUACAUCCAGUGCGGCAGAUACAGGAGACAAACAACAGAACACGGAAUGGCCAGUUAAGAAGAGGUAAAGACAGAGUCGCCUCCCAUUGGCGGACUGAAAAUGCUGAUGAAACUGUCAGUCAGGGAGGGGCCCGACGUCCUGACACGGAGUUGUCAGUCACGUAGUCGCUGUAUCAUAACCUGUCCUCCUUGGGCCGGUGCCAGACGCGAGCGCUGUCGUCAGUCGCGCUGGAGUCAACUCGGUACGAAUUGUUCACGAGCCCGAGGGAGGACGAGCUGCGUCUUGUGAGGUGCGCCGCGUAGCCCACAGUGAAUGCCAGCGGAGUUAUCCCCAUCAAGGUGAAGCGCGCGUGUCCUCCCGCCCGCCCGUCCUCAGCGGCUGAGCAUCGCCUCGCCGGUCGUCGCUCGCCCCCCCGCCGCCGCCGUUUGAAUCUGGCGGCUCUCGCGCAG